rnacentral:SRP_RNA from 1 species
GCCGGGCAUGGUGGCCCGUGCCUGUAGUCCCAGCUACUCGGGAGGCUGAGGUGGGAGGAUUGCUUGAGCCCAGGAGUUCUGGGCUGUAGUGUGCUAUGCCAACUGGGUGUCCACACUAAGUUCAGCAUCAAUAUGGUGACCUCCCAGGAGCGGGGGACCACCAGGUUGCCUAAGGAGGGAUGAACUGGCCCAGGUCGGAAAUGGAGCAGGUCAAAAUUCCCAUGCUGAUCAGUAGUGGGAUUGUACCUGUGAAUAGCCACUGCACUCCAGCCCGAGCAACAUAGUGAGGCCCUGUCUCU